UACGUAGGGUGCGAGCGUUGUCCGGAAUUAUUGGGCGUAAAGAGCUUGUAGGCGGUUUGUCGCGUCUGCUGUGAAAUCUCAAGGCUCAACCUUGAGCUUGCAGUGGGUACGGGCAGACUAGAGUGUGGUAGGGGAGACUGGAAUUCCUGGUGUAGCGGUGAAAUGCGCAGAUAUCAGGAGGAACACCGGUGGCGAAGGCGGAUCUCUGGGCCUGUUCUGACGCUGAGGCGCGAAAGCUAGGGGAGCGAACAGG
rnacentral:rRNA from 1 species